UCUAAUAUGGCAGAUAAGUGCCAUGGAUUUAAGCUCCAUAAAUAAAGUUCAACCUUUUAUUAGAA
rnacentral:tRNA from 1 species